rnacentral:rRNA from 1 species
GACGAACGCUGGCGGCGUGCUUAACACAUGCAAGUCGAGCGGAGCGGCGAACGGGUGAGUAACGCGUGAGUAACUGCCCCCCUCUCUGGGAUAACAGUUGGAAACGGCUGCUCAUACCGGAUAGUGGGGGAUGACUCGCGUCCUAUCAGCUUGUUGGUGGGGUAGUUGCCUCACAAGGCGACGACGGGUAGCCGGCCUGAGAGGGCGACCGGCCACAGUGGGCUGAGACACGGACCAGAGCCCUACGGGAGGCAGCAGUGGGGAAUCUUCCGCAAUGGACGAACGUCUGACGGAGCAACGCCGCGUUAGUGAUGACGGCCUUCGGGUUGUAACCCGCUUUCAGCCAUGACGCGGUAGUGGCAGAAGAAGCACCGGCUAACUACGUGCCAGCAGCCGCGGUAAUAC